UUUACAUACGCAAUCAUUUACAUACACAGUAUUUAGUAUUUAUUACGGGAGAGUAAGAUGGCGCCGGAGUGAGUGCACGUGUUUUUUUGUUUAGUUAGUAAGGCUGUUUAGUUAUUAGUUUGAAUAUUUUUAAUUUGUGAAGGGGAUAUAUUAAAAUCAAGGAAGUAGAAAGCAGUUAAAAGCAGUAGUUUAUGAAAAUUAAGAACUCCCUCGUAUAAGGAAAGGAAAGGUGCUGUGAUUGUAUUAAGCGGAUAUAUAUUUGUAUAUCUUAUAUUUAUAGUUAUAGUUUUUGUAUGGAUACAUUUUAUAAAAGCGUUUUUUGUUAUAUUUUUAUAUUCUGAUAUUUUUGUAAUAAUGAUAUAUAUAAUAGUUCCUAAGAGUGGCAAUGAGUACAAAUGUAUGGAGAGUGUGAAUCUGGUAGGAGCAGCGUUGGCCAGUAUUGAGCAGAGAAAGCAAUAUGGCCAGUUGUAAAAAAAAAAGAUGAAA